rnacentral:tRNA from 1 species
CGGGGAGUGGCGCAGUUUGGUAGCGCACCGGUAUGGGGUGCCGGUGGUCGCAGGUUCGAAUCCUGUCUCCCCGA